UUGUGCCAUUAUAGACAUUUGAAACUACGAAUCUUUUUUUAUCGAUUUCUGGAUGUUGUGUUUGUGAGGAAAAAAGCCUGAAAAUAAAAUACAAGAUUCGUACAUUUUUUUAUUGGAAUUUAAAAAAGGUCAUUUGGGAAUUAUUUAUACGAGCUUAUCGACGAUCGGACGUCAAAGGGGUGUGCUCGGAAAAAGACCACUUUCGGUCUAGUUCAUCACAGUGUGCACAGUGCGGGCCACUGGGUCUUAAAUGCUUGAUAUUUUUAUCAAGUAUGUUUUGGGAAAAUGGCGAAACUCGAAACCCCGUUCUGAAUACACACACACGAGAAAACGAUGAGGACGAUAAAAAAUGUGAUGUGUGAGAUGUACUAGGUUGAGGCGAUUCACACUGCUCUGUGAACCGUGGCCCUUGAUUCUCGGAAAAAGAACUAUCCGUAAUUUUUCAAAUUUAUAUUUAUUUUUUCAUUUUUGUGGUGAAGUUAUAAACAUAAUGGUAACCACAAGAUCCAGCCAAUCACAACGCUGAACUUUUUUUUCCGGAAAUCAUGGUUCACGGUUCACGGAGCAAUGUGAAGUCGCGUACGAUACGACGAAUGUUUGGUUUUCUAUAGUUAAGUCGUUUACACCGAAUCGGUGGUAGUCAGGGAUAGAUCAACGAGUAUAAACAGUAAACGCCAAAAAUAAUAGCUUAUUGUCAUGACCCAUUUUAAAAUGACAUUAAAUAAUAAUGGGCUAAUAAUAUUAUGUCGUACUACUAAAAACUGUAGAAAAACACCAUGAAAGUUGCAUUCAUAUUAUAUCUAGUAUAUUAUACAAUGAA